CCCAAAGAGGAGAAAGUGAAGACGAGAUGUAGAGGGGGGAAACAUCAGCCAGGAAAAGAGAGGGGGAGGCAAGGGGAGUGGAAUAAGUUUCUCUACCCCAGACUACGAUUCCCAGCAGUCCAUGGGGCCAGCCCUCCCUGCCCUGGCACCUGCUGGAGGAGAGGCUUUGUUCACCAAAGAAAGAGAAAGCAAAGCAAGGCAAAGGAAGUUCCUGCUGUUCCUGCAGGGAUCUGUCUGCUGGUUGGUGCUGCACAGAAGAGGAGGAGAGCAAAGAGAGAAGUUCAAAUUGCAUGAAGUCUCUAUUCCGGGUAAAGACUGGAACGGUAAUACAAUCUCUAAUGCAAAUGUGGACCAUUUUUAGCCCAGCUGCCGUUCCAAGGACCAUGAUUUCCAUGUGUGCUAUGAUGCAUCAGGCAGGUGUGGAGUAGACCUCUGCGUCAUCCUCUACUACCCAGCCUUGGUGCUGUGUUCCAAUUCUGCAUGAUAGCUACAUCCUCCCCGUGACACCAGCCAAACUGGACACAUCAGCAUUGGAACAGCGACACGUAGGCCAGAGCCUUUCUGUUAACAGCCA